CCUACGGGCGGCAGCAGUGAGGAAUAUUGGUCAAUGGCCGGAAGGCUGAACCAGCCAUGCCGCGUGAAGGUUAGUGCCCUAUGGGCGUUAAACUUCUUUUGUGCGGGAGCAAUAAUGGUCACGUUUGGCCAGACGAGAGUUCCGUACGAAUAAGCAUCGGCUAACUCCGUGCCAGCAGCCGCGGUAAUACGGGGGAUGCAAGCGUUAUCCGGCUUUAUUGGGUUUAAAGGGUGCGUAGGCUGUGAGGUAAGUCAGCGGUGAAAUGCCUCCGCUCAACGGGGUGAAGUGCCAUUGAUACUGCCGUGCUGGAAUGCGGAUGCCGUGGGAGGAAUGUGUGGUGUAGCGGUGAAAUGCAUAGAUAUCACACAGAACACCGAUUGCGAAGGCAUCUCACGAAUCCGCGAUUGACGCUGAUGCACGAAAGCGUGGGUAUCAAACAGGAUUAGAUACCCUAGUAGUC
rnacentral:rRNA from 1 species